GCAAUUGCAAUGUCAACGUUAAAUAGGCUAGUGAUUAAUUGUGACUACUAGGCCUACGGGUUGUCGUCGUUCACACUGGCCGCCUCUCCACCAUAAUAGUCAAAUGUCUGCCACUGCAGCUGACGUUGAGACAACUCUCCUGCAAGUCCUCGCCUGAUACUGCCUGUUUCAGGUGCAACAGGGCAAGUCACAAUUAGAGGUUGGAUGAUCACCUUUGAGGGCCGUGUAAUCUCUGAGGGCAUCCCACCAACAUUUGCAACGGGACUUACUGCUGUGUUUGCAAUCUACUACAUAUUCAACCUUCAGUAUCAAGAUGAGGCAGCCUGCACUCUGGAAUUCAUUCAGAGGCGCAUCAUUGAUAUAAAUCCAGAGAGCGGGACAAAGGCCAAAAUGGGCAAGGUUGUCUCCAAGAAGAAAGGUGUUAUCAUCCAGAAGAAGUCUUCUGCAGUCAAUACACACGUCGCCAUGUUUCUGAAGAAUCUCAUUGACUUGAAUGGAACUUGAUAUAGACCGGUGAGCUCUUUAAUCUCGCUCUCUUUGUUUUGACAAUCUGGCAUUGCCACAUUAAGCCACAAGAGAACUGCUAUUAACUUUAUAAGCAUUAGCUUGGAGUGCAUACUGUACACUCCUGAUUGUAUAGUUUAUUUAUUAUUCUGAUUAUGAUUUCUUGCUGUUGUUUGACAGUGGCAACACUGGAAUAAUGCUGCAGGGAGGAACAGCGGCAACCAAAGUGAUGGUCAUCUCUACUGGAUCCACAACAACUAAGAUGUAAAAACACAA